rnacentral:rRNA from 1 species
GACGAACGUUGGCGGCGUGCUUAACACAUGCAAGUCGAACGGAAAGGCCCUGCUUUUGUGGGGUGCUCGAGUGGCGAACGGUUGAGUAACACGUGAGUAACCUGCCCUUGACUUUGGGAUAACUUCAGGAAACUGGGGCUAAUACCGGAUAGGAGCUCCUGCUGCAUGGUGGGGGUUGGAAAGUUUCGGCGGUUGGGGAUGGACUCGCGGCUUAUCAGCUUGUUGGUGGGGUAGUGGCUUACCAAGGCUUUGACGGGUAGCCGGCCUGAGAGGGUGACCGGCCACAUUGGGACUGAGAUACGGCCCAGACUCCUACGGGAGGCAGCAGUGGGGAAUAUUGCACAAUGGGCGGAAGCCUGAUGCAGCAACGCCGCGUGCGGGAUGACGGCCUUCGGGUUGUAAACCGCUUUCGCCUGUGACGAAGCGUGAGUGACGGUAAUGGGUAAAGAAGCACCGGCUAACUACGUGCCAGCAGCCGCGGUGAUACGUAGGGUGCGAGCGUUGUCCGGAUUUAUUGGGCGUAAAGGGCUCGUAGGUGGUUGAUCGCGUCGGAAGUGUAAUCUUGGGGCUUAACCCUGAGCGUGCUUUCGAUACGGGUUGACUUGAGGAAGGUAGGGGAGAAUGGAAUUCCUGGUGGAGCGGUGGAAUGCUCAGAUAUCAGGAGGAACACCAGUGGCGAAGGCGGUUCUCUGGGCCUUUCCUGACGCUGAGGAGCGAAAGCGUGGGGAGCGAACAGGCUUAGAUACCCUGGUAGUCCACGCUGUAAACGGUGGGUACUAGGUGUGGGGUCCAUUCCACGGGUUCCGUGCCGUAGCUAACGCUUUAAGUACCCCGCCUGGGGAGUACGGCCGCAAGGCUAAAACUCAAAGGAAUUGACGGGGCCCCGCACAAGCGGCGGAGCAUGCGGAUUAAUUCGAUGCAACGCGUAGAACCUUACCUGGGUUUGACAUGGAUCGGGAGUGCUCAGAGAUGGGUGUGCCUCUUUUGGGGUCGGUUCACAGGUGGUGCAUGCCUGUCGUCAGCUCGUGUCGUGAGAUGUUGGGUUAAGUCCCGCAACGAGCGCAACCCUUGUUCACUGUUGCCAGCACGUUAUGGUGGGGACUCAGUGGAGACCGCCGGGGUCAACUCGGAGGAAGGUGGGGAUGACGUCAAGUCAUCAUGCCCCUUAUGUCCAGGGCUUCACGCAUGCUACAAUGGCUGGUACAGAGAGUGGCGAGCCUGUGAGGGUGAGCGAAUCUCGGAAAGCCGGUCUCAGUUCGGAUUGGGGUCUGCAACUCGACCUCAUGAAGUCGGAGUCGCUAGUAAUCGCAGAUCAGCAACGCUGCGGUGAAUACGUUCCCGGG